AUAUUUGUGCCAGCCAGCUGAGAAUAAGCAAAACAUUUUAAAGGCACCAAAGGCACCAACAGAGUUCAUAUAUAUUGGACAGUGUGCAACAAUAUCUGGGAAACAGAGAAUGAAAUCUAGAUAUAAAAAUAGAUGCCAUUUAGCCUGCGCAUGCACAAUUCUCAAUUCAGGAGCAGUCCUUAUUCCAAUAUAUUAUGCAAAACUGUUUUCACCUUUGAUUAUAGAUAAAAGAUGUGGAUAUAUAUUUAAGUUUGUGAAUAACAUAUGGCUCAUUAACUUGCAUUAAUCUUUACUGUGGUAUUUUAAAGAACUGAGGCUUACAUGUCUGUCCAUCUGUCAGAUUCCUUUCCCAUUCUCUUCUUAUUAGCCUUUGAACCUCUUCAUUGAUUUCUACAACACUGAAAAGAAGAUAAAUUAAGAAAGAUAAUCAAUUCCAUGUUAUGAAAAUUGGCAGCCAAUUAGAGGGAAGGGACCCAUACUACGGCCUCCUCUCAGGUCUGGCUCGUGGAAAGCAUUGUAGCAUUAAAAUGCUCCACUUGUGGUAUGCAGUGACCUUGGAUUUUGACUCAUGCUCACCCUCAGGAGGUGCUCACUUAAACAAACAUCACUGCUUUGAAAAAAUCCCCCAACCUCAAGAAGAUUAAAUAAAUGAUAAUUAGAUUUCAUUUUUUGUAUAUACAUAAGCUUCAACUAUUCAUACACUUCUGCCUAAAGCAAUGAAUUAGAGAUACUAAAAGGCUGAUUAAAGCAGUAACAUGUUCUGUGUUUGAACAAGUGAGAUUUAUUGAUCAAAGUUGACAACUGCCCUAUGAUCUCCAGGGUGUUUCAUGCUAAAAUGUGUACAUUUGAAGACACAGUAAGAUAACUUCUUUAUUUUCCAAACAUUAAGCAAACUACGAACCCAAUAAAAACACUUCUGUUAAGAAUGUUGAAGUGUCAAGAAGAGAAAGUGAGACAGACAGACAGUAAGGUUUUUAAGUGCUGACUUAGGACAGAAGUUACAUACAUUGACUUGGUAUAUAUUGGUAUACCUAAUAAGGAAUUAAUCUGCCUCUUCAUUUGCUGUCUAGAGGACUGGUAGCCUGAUGGAAAGCAGAGGGCCUCUUGGGUUCUUCUGGUGGGUUCAUUCAUGGAAUAUUAACAAUGUCUUUGGGCUUCUGCUUCAUAGUGGCACUGAGGGGCAGUUCCCCAGGAGGGAUAUUUGGAGACUUUUCAUGGAGCUGCAGCAUGCUCAGGGCUAACUUCAGGGUGCACCAGCAACCAUGAACAGCAGUCCAUCUUUUGUGGACUAGGACUCUAGGACCUUGCCCUUCUUGCUAGAUCCAGAGUAAAGAUGCAUGAGAGAAUAAUCACUGGGAACUGAGGCUUUGGGGAACUGUAGCUUUUCCCCCACAUUUUGUUUGGGAGUAACCAAAUUGCUAGAUAGUGUCUAGUUGUAUCAGGGAGCCCCCAAGCGUCUUCAGAUCAGUGAAGACACAGGCAGAAAAAAAGCAGAGGAACCCUGUUUAAAAAUAUGACAAUGAAGAGAAAUUACCAGUCACGUGGGUUCAGUAAACUCAUGACACACGUGCCAGAAGUGACAGACAGGUUUGGGAUGGUGUGCAGCAGGGCUGGCCAAGGACUGCAGCUCCUGGAAAACAAGCAUUCCUAGCCCUAGCUGCCACAGCUCAGACGUGCGGGAGCUCGAAAGCCCUGCCUCAUAUAGAAGCAAGGUAAUAUCUUGCCACUGAUCAGCAACAGCUCUAGAAUUCUAAGCGGGGCUGGUUCCUGUAGUGUUUCUGCUGGCAAAUAAACUCUCAUUAGGGAAUGAGGUAACAUGCAGGCUGACACUACCUGGAAGACUGCUGACCCCUGGCACCCAGCACUGCGCUCA
rnacentral:lncRNA from 1 species